CGACCCGCUCGGCGCGCACGCCGAAGAUCCUUACCAGUUCUACGCCGAGGCGCGCCGCCGCGAGCCGGUGUUCUACUCGCCGCGGGUCGAC
rnacentral:tRNA from 1 species